GAACGCUGGCGGCGUGCUUAACACAUGCAAGUCGAACGAUGAACCACUUCGGUGGGGAUUAGUGGCGAACGGGUGAGUAACACGUGGGCAAUCUCCCCUUCACUUUGGGACAAGCCCUGGAAACGGGGUCUAAUACCGGAUAACACUCUCACGGGCAUUUGUGAGGGUUAAAAGCUCCGGCGGUGAAGGAUGAGCCCGCGGCCUAUCAGCUUGUUGGUGAGGUAAUGGCUCACCAAGGCGACGACGGGUAGCCGGCCUGAGAGGGCGACCGGCCACACUGGGACUGAGACACGGCCCAGACUCCUACGGGAGGCAGCAGUGGGGAAUAUUGCACAAUGGGCGAAAGCCUGAUGCAGCGACGCCGCGUGAGGGAUGACGGCCUUCGGGUUGUAAACCUCUUUCAGCAGGGAAGAAGCGAAAGUGACGGUACCUGCAGAAGAAGCGCCGGCUAACUACGUGCCAGCAGCCGCGGUAAUACGUAGGGCGCAAGCGUUGUCCGGAAUUAUUGGGCGUAAAGAGCUCGUAGGCGG
rnacentral:rRNA from 1 species